rnacentral:rRNA from 1 species
GAUGAACGCUGACAGAAUGCUUAACACAUGCAAGUCGAUGGGGAAGUGGUGCUUGCACCAUGGUAACCAUAGCGGACGGGUGAGUAACGCGUAAGGAACUUACCUGCGGGACCGGGAUAACAGCAGGAAACUGCUGACAAGACCGGAUAAGGUCAUUAAGCUGCAUAGCUUAGUGAUGAAAGGAGACGCCUGCGGAGAGCCUUGCGUCCUAUUAGCUAGUUGGAGGGGUAACGGCCCACCAAGGCGAAGAUAGGUAGCCGGCCUGAGAGGGUGGACGGCCACAAGGGGACUGAGAUACGGCCCUUACUCCUACGGGAGGCAGCAGUGGGGAAUAUUGGACAAUGGGGGCAACCCUGAUCAAGCAAUUCUGUGUGCACGAAGACGGUUUUCGGAUUGUAAAGUGGUUUCAGCAGGGAAGAAGGAAGUGACGGUACCUGCAGAAGAAGCGACGGCUAAAUACGUG